AAAAAAAAAAAAAAAAAAAAAAUUGGGGAGUGACAGUCAAGGGGUUAAGCUACAAUCAAGGCUUGUUUAUAUUCGCGCAUCUACUGGUGUUGGUUCAUCACUCUUACUCGGCUGUUGCGGCUUUCACUUUACACUUUUAAACUUUCAGACAGCUGUGCCCUCAGCCAACCCGGAUUCUUCAGUCUGCCCUCCGUUAGCAGACAUAAUACUAAACGAAGUGCUUACGUCAGCUGGAAAUCACAUUUCUAAGGCGUCGCUCCCUCUACAAUCAAGCCUACACGUUUGCAUGGUCCGCUUCUAAUGUUUUUCCUUCCAAUUUUGCGUUCCUAUUCUAAUUUCGACCGUUGCUCCUUUCUUGUCAAAAAAAAAAAAAAAAAAAAAAAAAAAACGCAAUCUUUAUUUCUCUAUUCGCAGACUCCUUGCCAGCAUCUAAUCCACGCUAAAUUUUAUAAUCAAAUUUUCAAGCCUUUGGUUAUUCAGUUCUAUUACUACUUGAGGGGUUAGCUAAAUCUUCCAACAAAUUAAAGACAAAUGUCUGCCUAUUACCCUGCCCAUAUUGCAAAAUGAAUUACUUCAAUCUGCUACGGCCUUCCUUCAAAGUACCUCAAUAUUCUUCUGGAGGCAGUGUUUAUCUGCUUUCUACAGGUUAUGCUUCCAGGGGAAUUCACUUCAAACCAAUCAAUUUGAUCCUGCUCGCGGCAUUUCCUUCAGAUCUAUGAUUCGGACCAAAAAUUCUUCACACUCUCCUCAAGCACUCAAAAACCGAUGUGCAAGGUUCUGGUGUCACCUUAACAAUUCUAAAAUCAAUAAUCCUGUCCCUUCUCUGCAUGGUGAAAUUUCUUAAAAAUCCGACCUAGAAUUUCUAAAACGCACCAGCUCUAUUUUUCCUAACGGAGCCCCCUUUCCAAGGCUGUUUAGAACUCACUUAACCACUGUUCUCAAAGCUGCAGUCUAUCUACUGGCCAUUCAUUCAGAAUUGGGGCAGCUACUUCAGCAGCUGAAUGAGGGAUCUCUACAUCAGCUGUUAAGAUCAUGGGCAGAUGGUCUUCCUAAGCAUUUGAAUCAUACAUCAGACCUGAUUCAAAACCAUUAUUGAAGCUCAGCAAGCUCUCCUGUAACUAAUCAGGAACCUUAGGAUUCACAACUGGUGGGUAUACUUCAUCUACUUUUUUUGGGGGGGAAGGCUGGCCCCGUCUGGAGGUCUCAUAAUCCACCUAAUUUUGGGGGUCUGCUGCGCCCCUGCCUUCGUCUUCAGGCAGGAAAUGCAGAUUCGCUACCCUCGGAUUACGAACCAUGGACGGGGCCUUCCGCCAAAGAAAUUUAUAAUUGUGCUCGCUGAGCUGUCAAUAAAUGUAUGCUUCGUACAUUCCUCUA